GGAACUAGGUCGCGGCCGCGGGGAGGCGGCCCCGCAGCGGCUCCCUGACUGGGGGUCCGAGUUGACCCCUGGAGGGAACAUGUGGGAAACCGAGGUGGCAGGGGAGGGCGCUGUGGAAUGUAAGGGCCCCAGGGAACCUGUCUACAAAACUGGUGAGGCAAGAAGGCCUGGAAGGAAAACCAGACCCAUUCCCAGAUCUCUGUCCUAGAGGUUGGAGCUGAAGGAAGAGACCCUGCCCCAGAAGCUCGAUUACCCUCAGACCCCUGAGCAACCCUAGAGUCCAGACUUGAGCCAAUGGUGGAGACGCUGCAGAAAGCGACAUCUGAGAUUUAGACCCUUUGCAUCUGGGAGAUCUAAACAUACCAUCAGGGUACAGGAAAUAGCUUCACAGUCACACUGGUUCCUGACUCGAGUCCUCAAAAUCCCAGGGCAGAAGAACUUACCUAAUGCACAUCUUACCUUUCAUAGAUGAAAAAAAACUAAGCACCCAAGACAGAAAAUGACUGCCCAUAAACACAAAGCCAAUGAAUGGCAGAAUUGAGUCUAGAACCCAUUUCUAUUUACUCCAACUUAGGUCAUUCCUCAAUAGAACCUCUUUUAAAUUGAUCUUGCCUCCAGUGAAAGAGACAAGAAUACAAUCAUAUCUGCGCUGCUCAGCUGCCUCUGAUUUUCUGCUCCAAAAAUAAAUAAAAGAAAGAAAGAAAAAUUAA